UUCACUCAAAUUUGUAUGGAGUUGGAACGUUUGCUUACGUUUGCCGCUAGGGGCGCUGUUCCAACUGCAUUUUUUUUUUUUUA
rnacentral:pre_miRNA from 1 species